UUCUUUUUUUUCUUCUUCUUCUUCUCUCCCCUGUAAAACCCUAACCCUAAUCUCUCUUCUUCUUCACCAUCACCCUUCACCAUGGACGCUGCUCCUCGAUCUCCCGACCCAGGCUCCAACUCUCUUGCUCACCAACCCUAAUCCCACAACCCUCAUUGAAGCUUCCUCACCGUUGGCAUCAUCUCCUUCCUUUUUUUUUGGAUCUCGUUAUUCGCUUCUCUCUUCUUUGAAGCCUCGAAUCCCUCUCCAUUUGGUGAGUGAGCGAGAGAGAAGGCACCCGAGCUUCAUUUGGUUUUGGUUUCCAUGAUCGAUUAGGGUUGGGUGUGGAGAUUGGUUAAUUUCUAGGCAGCACCAAAGGAUUUGAUCUUUGCUUGCAUCUCCGAGUGGCCUUUUCUGGUUGACUGGCCUCUCAGGCUCCAAAUCCUUCUUAUUAGUCACUGAGAAUUCUACAAUAUAAAUUGGUUAAAGAAAAGUGGAAGAAAUUGCACGUUCUCUACAAGAUCGUAUACGCCAUAGAUUGGAGCUUGAGAUCCAAUAAAAUCAGGAAGAUGUGAAUCGGCAUGUUAGAGAAGGUAGGAUCAUGAAAUAAAGUGGGAAAUACAAUAAGCAAGUUUAGAUCUCUCACCUUAAAAGUGGACGAGCGGAUUAUAAUUUUGAAGUGUGAUUGGAAGUGCUGCUGCUGCUGUUAUUUUCAAAUACAGGAAUGCUGUUGAUUUGGCUUUGUUCAAAAACUGGUUGAAGAAUAUGCAAAGUGAAACAAGAAUUUUAUCUGGUGGGGAGAUAAGUUUGAGACAAGUGCUCAUCCAGGGUGUGGAUAUGCUUGGAAGAGGUGCUGGAUUUUUAAAAUUUAAAGCAGAUGUCAUUGGCAAGGAGACAGGAACGAAGUUAUUCUCUACAAUAUAAAUUGGUUCAAGAGAAGCGGGAGAAAUUGCACGUUCUCUACAAGGUUAAGAAUAAAAUUCUUCGUGAUAUUAUUGAUUUUGUCAAGAGACACCAGUCAUUCUUUGAUCAAAUUAUGAGAGAGGAUUUAUCAAGAUCUGAUACAAAACAUUUGGAAUGCGUCAGUCUUGUGGUUUCUAUACUCUGCAAGAUUUUGAGGCGUCCUGGUUAGUCCAACCAUCAGAGUCCCGAGAGGUAUGAAUCAUAUUUAUAUUUGGAGCUAUUGCUUAAAGAAAUGAAUUUUCACUGUGUGAAUGUUUCUAUAGUUAGUAAUCCAUUUCAAUAUCAUCAGAACCAGAAGAGCUCUGAAUUGAUCAUCUUUCAACUUUGCUUUUAGCUUGAGCUCUUACCUUUACUUUUUUAUCACAAAAUAGGGACUGAGGUUGCAAGUCAGUAAAACUACUACAGUCUGAAAGAUUUUCUUUUAACAAUGCAUUUGCAUACUACUAAGGAUUUUAUUAACAAAUAUUAAUUUAUCUAGAAUUCUAGAUACCUGCAAGGAAUACGAUAUAAUUGUUGAAACAACAUGCGCUGUUUAUAGUAUAGUUUGGGGUUCGCUUUUGUUAUGAAGAUUAUUGUAUA